UAUUUACGGAAGCCUCAAUACCUAACAUUGGUGCGCUCCGCCUCAGCUCUUUGGCGGUCGAUGCUCCGCUCGGGCGGCGGUGACCUGAUCCAGGCGGGCCGGAGAGAGGAAGAGCUCCCUCUUAAACGCUAUUCGCCCUCCUCCCAUCUCGCCCUCUCCUCGCCUCGCCUCCUUUCAUGUCUCCCCUCGGCUUCCCCUUCUCUGCUGGCCUCCUCUGGACCGGGUUCCAAGCACUGAUUUCCGCUACUUACCCUUCUUCCCCUAUACGGCUCGCUUCCUGCUCUGAUCGACCGAAGAAAGAAGCUAUUUUUGAUAUUUUUUCGUUAUUUAGAGGUGGUUCUUUGGCUCUGCGGUCAGAAUGAGUGAUCACAAGCAGGUCCUAAUAUUUGGGUCAUUCACUGAGGAUGAGACUAGGUUCUUUCAAAGACAGUUAGUUGAAAACAAUGUGUGUCCUUUGGAAAAGGCAGGAUCGCAGUUCGGAUCUUUAGACUCUGCUUCUCUAAAUCCAUCUAAUGGUUCGAAUGCUGAACCCAAACAAACUGAUUCAUCUGUAAGCUCAAAUGAUAUCCAAGGUUCAAAGCUGGUUUCAAAGGACAAAAGGACCAAGAAUGAAAAGGCCAAAAUAAGUAAUAAUUUCAAACAGGAUACAGGGGCCCAAGCAAAUGGAAGCCCUAACUCUUGUAUUUCCCAUGAUGAUGGGAUUACUGAAAAUGGGAGCGACACUUUAGAUUUAGCUUCUUUGCAAAUAUCGGAUAGUGAAGCUGCCAAUACAGAGUUGUUAUCAAGCCCAAAGGUGCAUCAGAAUGGAAUUCAAACACCUAAAUACAAGAGCAUGUUAGUUGGUUCCUCAGCAGUUGUGAAUUCUGUGGUGGAUGUUCCAAAAAUAUCAAGUGAGAAAGCACCAUCAUCUGAAAGAAUACUUCCACGAGGCUUAAUAAAUUCAGGAAAUCUAUGCUUCCUUAAUGCAACACUGCAGGCGCUUCUCUCCUGUUCACCAUUUGUCCAGCUUUUGCAGGACCUAAGAAAUCGAAAUAUUCCUAAGAUUGGCUGUCCAACAUUAAAUGCAUUUGUGGAGUUUAUCUCUGACUUCGACGUGCCUAAUGAUUCAAGCCCAAAGAAUAAUGAGAGAGGAGUUCUUGAAACUGGGAAGCCUUUCAGUCCCAUUAUGUUUGAUCCUGUUCUGAAAAAGUUUACACCAGACUUGCCAACUGGAACAUUAGGCAGGCCAAGACAAGAAGAUGCCCAGGAGUUUUUGAGUUUUGUCAUGGAUCAAAUGCACAAUGAACUGCUGAAGCUUGAUGACCAUUUUUCUAGUUCAGAUGGAGGAAAAUUGCCUCUGGUUUCCUAUGCUGAAGAUGAUGGUUGGGAAACUGUUGGACCAAAAAACAAGUCUGCAGUGACCAGAACUCAGAGCUUUGUGCCAUCUGAGUUAAGUGCAAUUUUUGGGGGUCAAUUAAGAAGUGUUGUGAAGGCCACAGGCAACAAGGCUUCAGCUACAGUUCAGCCCUUCCUUCUGCUCCAUCUUGAUAUUUUUUCUGAAGCUGUUCAUACUAUUGAAGAUGCACUUCAUUUGUUUUCUGCUCCAGAAACUGUCGAAGGAUACAGAACUUCAGCUGGCAAGGUAUCCACCCGUUGCUUUAUUGUCUGGCAGGGGUGGUUAGUGCUAGCAAGUCUAUAAAAAUUCGGACACUUUCCAAGAUAUUGAUACUUCAUUUGAUGAGAUUUAGCUAUGGAAGCACAGGAAGCACAAAAUUGCACAAGCCUGUCCGGUUCCCCCUUGAGCUGGUACUUGGCCGUGAGUUACUUGUCUCUCCAUCAUCCGAGAGCCGGAAGUAUGAGCUGGUGGCCACCAUCACUCACCAUGGUAGAGAACCCUCUAAAGGUCAUUAUACUGCUGAUGCCCGGUAUUCCGAUGGUCACUGGCUUCGGUUUGAUGAUGCAUCUGUCGCAGCUGUCGGUACAAAGAAAGUUCUGCACGACCAGGCAUAUGUUCUCUUUUACAGACAAGUAUAGGUGGAUGAUGUAUUCUUUUGGUCUUGUUGGUUUAGCUGAUCUCCAUGUUAAUACAAUUGUUGAAUUUGCGGGCUGAAAGAAACAAAUGCUGAGAAUGUAUGUAAAGCUAAGCUGGAUUUUCCGGGUAUACCUUCCUGUUUCUUACUAACAUGGUGGAAAAGUAGACCUUUUGUAACAUUUUUAAGUUGCUUAUUUAUUGUGCUGAUAUAUACGGGAGUGCAUCUUUUUGUCCCUGCAAAGCCUGUAAUCAACCAUGUCUGAAUUAUUUGUUUAGUAUUUAGAUGACUAUGUUUGUUU